rnacentral:rRNA from 1 species
GACGAACGCUGGCGGCGCGCUUAACACAUGCAAGUCGAACGGAAAGGCCUGCUUUCCCUUGUGGAUUGCGGGUACUCGAGUGGCGAACGGGUGAGUAACACGUGAGUGAUCUGCCCCCAACUUGGGUAUAAGCCUGGGAAACUGGGUCUAAUUCCCGAUAGGACUGCAGGGUGGUGCCUGUGGUGGAAAACGAUUUACUAGUGGUUGGGGAUGAGCUCGCGGCCUAUCAGCUUGUUGGUGGGGUAAUGGCCUACCAAGGCGGCGACGGGUAGCCGGCCUGAGAGGGUGGACGGCCACAUUGGGACUGAGAUACGGCCCAGACUCCUACGGGAGGCAGCAGUGGGGAAUAUUGCACAAUGGGCGGAAGCCUGAUGCAGCGACGCCGCGUGGGGGAUGACGGCCUUCGGGUUGUAAACUCCUUUCGACCGCGAGGAAGCCACCUGGUUGGAAGGGUGGUGACGGUAGUGGUAGAAGAAGCACCGGCUAACUACGG